rnacentral:rRNA from 1 species
CGGCAACAGCUCAAAUUUGAAAUCUGGCCUCUUUGGGGCUCGAGUUGUAAUUUGUAGAGGAUGUUUCGGGCACCGCUCCGGUUUAAAUUUCUUGGAACAGAAUGUCAAAGAGGGUGAGAAUCCCGU